rnacentral:ncRNA from 1 species
AUAAAGUUUUAUUUUGGCUUUAAAAUUUAUUAUUAAUUUAAUUUAUAUGUAAAUUUUUGUGUGAAUUUUUAUUUAUUUUAAUAGUGAAUAAAUUUUAUUUUAGUCGCAGUAAUUAGUAUUAUUAAUUAAAGAAAUUUAGAAAUAGUAAUAUUAAAGAGUAUUGGCAAAAUUCGUGCCAGCAGUCGCGGUUAUACGAAUAAUACAAAUAAAUUUUUUUCAGUAAAAGUUAAAUUAUUUUUUAUAAAAUAUAAAUAAAUUUAUUAGGUGAAAUUUUAAAUUUAUAUAGUUUUAAAAUAAAAAUUUAUUGAAGCUUGGAAAUUUUAUUAAUAAACUAGGAUUAGAUACCCUAUUAUUUAAAAUGUAGUUUGUUUACUAAAGUAGUAAUAGUUAUGUUCUUGAAACUUAAAAAAUUUGGCGGUAUUUUAGUCUAUUCAGAGGAACCUGUCCUGUAAUCGAUAAUCCACGAUGGACCUUUCUUAAAUUUGUUUUUCAGUUUAUAUACCGUCGUUAUCAGAAUAUUUUAUAAGAAUAAUAAUUUUCUAGAAUUUGUAUAAAAAUUUAUAUCAGAUCAAGGUGUAGCUUAUAUUUAAGUAGAGAUGGGUUACAAUAAAUUUAUUUUUGGAUAUAAAUAUGAAAAAUUUAUUGAAAUUGGAUUUGAUAGUAAAAUUAUAAAGAUUAAUAAUUUGAUUUUAGCUCUAAAAUAUGCACACAUCGCCCGUCGCUCUUAUUAUUAAGGUAAGAUAAGUCGUAACAUAGUAGAUGUACCGGAAGGUGUAUCUAGAAUGA